rnacentral:tmRNA from 1 species
GGGGAUGUAAUGGUUUCGACGGGGGCAGGAGUGUCUCUGUAAGCGAGUAGAAGGAGCCUGUAGUCCUGGCUUUAAAAAACCACAGGAAACUGUAAACGCAGAAGAUAAUUUUGCAUUAGCAGCGUAAGCUGCUACGUUCUGCCCUGAUCCACCGGAGUCAGGAACAGGGCGUCAAAAAUCCGGUAAAACGAGCCGGGGAUAAGCUUUGCCCCCCGGAACGGGAUUAAUGAAGCUACCUGACUGAAAGCCUGCUGCCGGGCGUUCACGACGGGAAUUUAAAUCGGACAGCUGCACUCGGAGAAAGCAGUGAAGCUCGGCUUUCGGACACGGGUUCAACUCCCGUCAUCUCCACCA